GAUGAACGCUGGCGGCGUGCCUAAUACAUGCAAGUCGAGCGAACAGACGAGGAGCUUGCUCCUCUGACGUUAGCGGCGGACGGGUGAGUAACACGUGGAUAACCUACCUCUAAGACUGGGAUAACUUCGGGAAACCGGAGCUAAUACCGGAUAACAUGUUGAACCGCAUGGUUCAACAGUGAAAGACGGUCUUGCUGUCACUAAUAGAUGGUUCCGCGCCGCAUUAGUUAGUUGGUAAGGUAACGGCUUACCAAGGCAACGAUGCGUAGCCGACCUGAGAGGGUGAUCCGCCACACUGGAACUGAGACACGGUCCAGACUCCUACGGGAGGCAGCAGUAGGGAAUCUUCCGCAAUGGGCGAAAGCCUGACGGAGCAACGCCGCGUGAGUGAAGAAGGUCUUCGGAUCGUAAAACUCUGUUAUUAGGGAAGAACAAAUGUGUAAGUAACUAUGCACGUCUUGACGGUACCUAAUCAGAAAGCCACGGCUAACUACGUG
rnacentral:rRNA from 1 species